rnacentral:rRNA from 1 species
GAUGAACGCUGGCGGCGUGCUUAACACAUGCAAGUCGAACGGAAAGGCCCAAGCUUGCUUGGGUACUCGAGUGGCGAACGGGUGAGUAACACGUGGGUGAUCUGCCCUGCACUUCGGGAUAAGCCUGGGAAACUGGGUCUAAUACCGGAUAGGACCACUUCCUGGAUGUUGUGGUGGAAAGAUUUUUCGGGGUGGGAUUAGCUCGCGGCCUAUCAGCUUGUUUGGGGGGUAAUGGCCUACCAAGGCGUCGACGGGUAGCCGGCCUGGGAGGGGGUACGGCCACAUUGGGGCUGGGGUACGGCCCAGACUCCUACGGGGGGCAGCAGGGGGGAAUAUUGCACAAUGGGCGCAAGCCUGAUGCAGCGACGCCGCGGUGGGGAUGACGGGCUUCGGGUUGUAAACUCCUUUCGCUAGGGACGAAGCGUUUUGUGACGGUACCUGGUGAAGAAGCACCGGCUAACUACGUG